UACGGGGGGGGCAAGCGUUGUUCGGAAUUACUGGGCGUAAAGGGCUCGUAGGUGGCCAACUAAGUCAGACGUGAAAUCCCUCGGCUUAACCGGGGAACUGCGUCUGAUACUGGAUGGCUUGAGUGUGGGAGAGGGAUGCGGAAUUCCAGGUGUAGCGGUGAAAUGCGCAGAUAUCAGGAAGAACACCCGUGGCGAAGGCGGCUCUCUGGGACGGUACUGACGCUGAGACGCGAAAGCGUGGGGAGCGAACAGG
rnacentral:rRNA from 1 species